GACGAACCGUGCGAACGUUGUUCGGAUUCACUGGGCUUAAAGGGCGCGUAGGCGGGCUGUCAAGUCCGGGGUGAAAGCCUCCAGCUUAAACUGGAGAAGUGCCUCGGAUACUGGCGGCCUCGAGGGGGGUAGGGGCGGGCGGAACUUCCGGUGGAGCGGUGAAAUGCGUAGAUAUCGGAAGGAACGCCGGUGGCGAAAGCGGCCCGCUGGACCCUCUACUGACGCUGAGGCGCGAAAGCCAGGGGAGCAAACGGGG
rnacentral:rRNA from 1 species